UACGUAGGGGGCAAGCGUUGUCCGGAUUUAUUGGGCGUAAGGAGCGUGUAGGCGGCCAGACAAGUCUGCUGUGAAAACUCGAGGCUCAACCUCGAGACGUCGGUUGAAACCGUAUGGCUAGAGUCCGGAAGAGGAGAGUGGAAUUCCCGGUGUAGCGGUGAAAUGCGCAGAUAUCGGGAAGAACACCCGUGGCGAAGGCGGCUCUCUGGGACGGUACUGACGCUGAGACGCGAAAGCGUGGGGAGCGAACAGG
rnacentral:rRNA from 1 species